rnacentral:rRNA from 1 species
GUAUAUGGGCUGACGCCUGCCCGGUGCUGGAAGGUUAAGAGGAGAGGUUAGCGCAAGCGAAGCUUUGAAUUCAAGCCCCAGUAAACGGCGGCCGUAACUAUAACGGUCCUAAGGUAGCGAAAUUCCUUGUCGGGUAAGUUCCGACCCGCACGAAAGGCGUAAUGAUUUGAGCACUGUCUCGACAAUGCAUCCGGUGAAAUUGAAGUACCAGUGAAGAUGCUGGUUACCCGCGCCAGGACGGAAAGACCCCAUGGAGCUUUACUCUAGCUUGAUACUGGGACUCGGUAAUACAUGCACAGGAUAGGUGGGAGGCUGUGAAAUCACAAUUCCGGUUGUGAUGGAGCCAAUGUUGGGAUACCACCCUUGUGUUACUGGGUUUCUAACAUUCAGCCGUGAUCCGGCUGGUGGACAAUGUCAGGUGGGGAGUUUGACUGGGGCGGUCGCCUCCGAAAGAGUAUCGGAGGCGCUCAAAGGUUCCCUCAGGAUGGUUGGAAACCAUUCAAAGAGUGCAAAGGCAGAAGGGAGCUUGACUGCGAGACUGACAAGUCGAGCAGAUACGAAAGUAGGGCUUAGUGAUCCGGCGGUAGAGAAUGGAAUUGCCGUCGCUUAACGGAUAAAAGUUACCUCGGGGAUAACAGGCUGAUCUCCCCCAAGAGUUCACAUCGACGGGGAGGUUUGGCACCUCGAUGUCGGCUCGUCGCAUCCUGGGGCUGUAGUAGGUCCCAAGGGUUGGGCUGUUCGCCCAUUAAAGUGGCACGCGAGCUGGGUUCAGAACGUCGUGAGACAGUUCGGUCCCUAUCCGAUGUGGGCGUAGGAAAAUUGAAGAGAGCUAUCCUUAGUACGAGAGGACCGGGAUGGACAAACCUCUGGUGUAUCUGUUGUAGCGCCAGCUGCAGCGCAGAGUAGCUAUGUUUGGAAUGGAUAACCGCUGAAAGCAUCUAAGCGGGAAGCCAACUUUGAGAUGAGUUUUCCCAUACGUAUGUAGUAAGAUCCCAAAAAGACGAUUUGGUUGAUAGGCUGGAGAUGGAAGCAUGGUGACAUGUUGAGUUGACCAGUACUAAUAGAUCGAGGAUUUAAUCAU